rnacentral:pre_miRNA from 1 species
GUCACCUGGGCAUCUUGUUAGGAUGCAGACUCUGGCUCAGUGGGGCCAGGAGGGGCCUGAGGUUCUGCAUUUCUAACAAGUUUCCAGGGGAUGCCAA